UCCCUGGUGGUCUGUGGUUAAAACUCUGCAUUACAAAUGCAGAGGGCCCAGGUUCAACCCUUGGUCAGGGAU
rnacentral:tRNA from 1 species